AUUACCUGGUAAUAACCUGGUUAUAACCUGAGAAAAUACCUGGUAAUAACCUGGUUAUAACCUGAGACAUUACUUGGUAAAAACCUGGUAAUUACAUGGUUAUAACCUGAGACAUUACCUGGUAGUAACCUGGUUAUAACCUGGAUAUCACCUGGUUAUAACCUGAGACAUUACCCUGUUAUAACCUGGUAAUAACCUGAGACAUUACCUGGUUAUAACCUGGUUAUAACCUGGGACAUUACUUGGUUAUAACCAGGUAAUAACCUGAGACAUUACCUGGUUAUAACCUGGUUAUAACCUGAGACAUUACCUGGUAAUAAUCUGAGACAUUACCCUGUUAUAAACUGGUUAUAACCUGAGACAUUACCAGGUUAUAACCUAGUUAUAACCUGGUUAUAACCUGAGACAUUACCUGGUUAUAACCUUGUUCAAACCUGGUUAUAACCUGAGACAUUGCCUGGUUAUAACCUGGUUGUAACCUGAGACAUUACCUGGUAAUAACCUGGUUAAAAACCUGGUUAUAACCUGGUUAUUACCUGGUAAUAAUCUGAG